UACGGGGGGGGGCAAGCGUUGUUCGGAAUUACUGGGCGUAAAGGGCUCGUAGGCGGCCGACUAAGUCAGACGUGAAAUCCCCCGGCUUAACCGGGGAACUGCGUCUGAUACUGGACGGCUUGAAUUCGGGAGAGGGGAUGCGGAAUUCCAGGUGUAGCGGUGAAAUGCGUAGAUAUCUGGAGGAACACCGGUGGCGAAGGCGGCAUCCUGGACCGACAUUGACGCUGAGGAGCGAAAGCCAGGGGGAGCAAACGGG
rnacentral:rRNA from 1 species